AACCGGGGAAGGGUGUAAUACCCGGCUAGAUUCCGGCAUCGGAAUCCCUACCUUCCGGCGGAAUCUCCGUUGGAAUAUGGAAUGUUGAUGAUGCCAGAGUCUUCUAGAGGGGUAAAAUGUGUUUUCUAAAAUGAUUUUUACUGAUUUCAUGGUUUUAAAUGAAAAAGAUUUGAGUUUUGAAAAGAAAAGACUAAGGAGGUUUUUGCCAGGUUCGGCCGCCGAAAGUGAAGUUCGGCCGCCGAACAUGAGUUGGUUUCGGGAGCGCCUUUGGCCUCCGAAAGUCUUGAUUGAACAAACCAGGUUCGGCCGCCGAACCUCAAGUUCGGCCGCCGAACAUGGGGGUGUUUUGCAUGCACGUUAGGCCGCCGAAGGAGGUUUGGCUGGCCACCUAUAAAAGCCCCUCAGACCGGAAAUGGGCGAG
rnacentral:lncRNA from 1 species